rnacentral:rRNA from 1 species
UACGUAGGGGGCAAGCGUUGUCCGGAAUCAUUGGGCGUAAAGAGCGCGUAGGCGGCCCUGUAAGUCCGCUGUGAAAGUCAAGGGCUCAACCCUUGGAUGCCGGUGGAUACUGCAGGGCUAGAGUCCGGAAGAGGCGAGUGGAAUUCCUGGUGUAGCGGUGAAAUGCGCAGAUAUCAGGAGGAACACCGAUGGCGAAGGCAGCUCGCUGGGACGGUACUGACGCUGAGGCGCGAAAGCGUGGGGAGCAAAACAGG